UUGGCACGAAUCAAGACCCACCUGCUUGUUGUAGCUGUUGGUUUCAAAUGGUGCCGACAUUAACUCCUUCCUGUGGUCUGUUGAUUUGAUCCCUGAUUUAACACGGGGCUAAUCACUUCAGUUGGAAGGUACAAAA